GACGAACGCUGGCGGCGUGCUUAACACAUGCAAGUCGAACGGAAAGGCCCUGCUUUUGUGGGGUGCUCGAGUGGCGAACGGGUGAGUAACACGUGAGUAACCUGCCCUUGACUUUGGGAUAACUUCAGGAAACUGGGGCUAAUACCGGAUAGGAGCUCCUGCUGCAUGGUGGGGGUUGGAAAGUUUCGGCGGUUGGGGAUGGACGCGCGGCUUAUCAGCUUGUUGGUGGGGUAGUGGCUUACCAAGGCUUUGACGGGUAGCCGGCCUGAGAGGGUGACCGGCCACGUUUGCAAUGAGAUACGGCCCAGACUCCUACGGGACACAGCAGUGGGGAAUAUUGCACAAUGGGCGGAAGCGUGAUGAAGCCACGCCGCGUGUGGGAUGCCGGCCUUCGGGUUGAAAACCGCUUUCGCCUGUGACGAAGCGUGAGUGGCGGUCAUGGGUAAAGAAGCACCGGAGAACUACG
rnacentral:rRNA from 1 species